rnacentral:lncRNA from 1 species
CCUUGCUGAGGGCAGAGGCAGGGUCUUGGGCUGCAAGCUCGCCUGCACCACCGCUACUCACUUGCACCUCCAUUCUCUAGCUCUUUUUAUUUUUAUUUUUUUGAGAUAAGGUCUCGCUCUGUUGCCCAGGCUGGAGCACAGUGGCGUGAUCUUGGAUCACUGCAGCCUCUAUCUCUCUGGCUCAGGGGAUUCUCCCACUUCAGCUUCCCAAGAAUUUGGGACCACAGGUGCCUGCUACCAUGCCCGGCUAAUUUUGUUUAUUUUUUGUAGAGAUGAGGUCUCACUAUGUUGCCCAGGCUGGUCUCGAGCUCCUGGGCUCAAGCAAUCCUCCCACCUCGGGCUCCCAAAUUGCUGGGAUUACAGGAGUAAGCCACUACGCCCGGCCCAUGCCUACAUUCUCUAGCCUCCUCUUCCCCCAUGCAUCUCUUAUCAAUGGGAUACAUUUUGAGAAAUUUCAUUGUUGUGUGAACAUCAUAGAGUGUACUAACACAAACCUAGAUGGAUCAGCCUACUACACUAGUAUUUGUGUAUCUAAACAAAUCUAAACAUAGAAAAGGUACAGUAGAAAUGCGAGACCAGCUCGACUGGGGACAGCCUAACCCAGUGGCACUAGAGGAAUUAAAGACACACACACAGAAAUAUAGAGGUGUAAAGUGGGAAAUCAGGGGCCUCACAGCCUUCAGAGCUGAGAGCCCCAAACAGAGAUUACCCAUGUAUUUAUUAACAGCAAGCCAGUCAUUAGCAUUGUUUCUAUAGAUACUCGAUUAACUAAAAGUAUCCCUUAUGGGAAAAGAAGGGAUGGGCCGAAAUGAAGGGGUGGGUCUGGCUAGUUAUCUGCAGCAGGAACAUGCCCUUAAGGCACAGAUUGCUCAUGCUAUUGUUCAUGGUUUAAGAACGCCUUUAAGCGGUUUUCCGACCUGGGUGGGCCAGGUGUUCCUUGUCCUCAUUCCAGUAAACCCACAACCUUCCAGCGUGGGCGUUAUGGCCCUCAUGAACAUGACACAGUGCUGCAGAGAUUUUGUUUAUGGCUAGUUUUGGGGCCAGUUUAUGGCCAGAUUUGGGGGGGCCUGUUCCCAACAAGAAAUAUGGUAUAAAUGAUUAAAAAACUGUACACCUGGCCAGGCACAGUGGCUGACGCCUGUAAUCUCAGCACUUUGGGAGGCCAAGGCAAGGCGGAUCACGAGGUCAGGAGAUAGAGACCAUUCUGGCUAACACGGUGAAACCCCGUCUCUACUAAAAAUACAAAAAAAUUAGCUGGGCGUGGUGGUGGGUGCCUGUAGUCCCAGCCACUCGGGAGGCUGAGGCAGGAGAAUGGCAUGAACCCAGGAGGCAGAGCUUGCGGUUAGCCGCGAUCACACCACUGCACUCCAGCCUGGGUGACAGAGUGAUACUCUGUCUCAAAAAAAAAAAAAAAAAGAUUGUACACCUGUAUAGGACACUUACCAUGAAUGGAGCUUGCAGGACUGGAAGUUGCUCUGGGUGAGUCAGUGAGGAGGGUGAAUGAAUGUGAAGGCCUAGGACAUUACUGUACACCACUGUAGACUUUAUACACACUGUGCACUUAGGGUACACAACAUUUUUUUAAAAUGCUUUUCUUUCUUCAAUAAUAAACUAACAUUAGCAUACUGUAACUUUGUAACUUUAUAAACUUUUUAACAUUUUAAGCCUUUUUGACACCUUUGUGGUAGCUUAAAACACAAACAUUGUAUAGCUGUACAAAAAUAUUUUCUUUUUAUCCUUACUAUAUAAACUUUUUUCUUUUUUUUUUUUUUAAUAGAGAUGGCGUUUUGCUAUGUUGCCCAGGGUGGUCUCAAACUCCUUGUAUGAUUCUCCCCAGGGUCUGAAAGCUUAAGGGGAUGAGUAACCCCUCCCUUCCCAGGCCCAGUCCCAAGGCGCAAGGUCACUUGUGUCAGCAGUGUGCGCCAGCAGGAUAGCAGAAGCAGGAAGAGAGCCGGCUGGAAGACACGUACCCCCGAAGAUCGAGAAAGAGGCCAUCCGGGUACAACGUAGCAGUUACGUCAGACUAGGACACUUCCUGUUUACAGGAGACUGUAAAACCUUUGCCCCGUCCUCACUUGGUGCUGACGCCAUUUUAAGCCUCGGCCUUCCUGCACUCAGGCGCACCCAGGCGCUCCUUAAAACAGCUUAUUGCUCCACACCUCCUCGUGUUGUCUGUGGACGCGCUCUUGGGGUUGGAACCGAUACAAGAACCUUACACUGCUGGGCUCAAGUGAUCUGCCUGCCUCGGCCUCCCAACGUGUUGGGAUUACAGGCGUGAGCCACCACGCCUGGCCUAUUCUUUUACUUUUUAAAAUUUUGUGAAAAACUAAGACACAAACACACACAUUAGUUUAGGCCUACACGGGGUCAGGAUCAUCAAUAUCACUGUCUACCACUUCCACAUGUUGUACCACUGGAAGAUCUUCACGGGCAAAAACACACAUGGAACUGUCACCUAUGAUGAUGAUGCUUCCUUCUGUAGUACCUCCUGAAGGCUCUGCCUGAAGCUGUUUACAGUUAACUUUUUUUUUUAAAAAAAAGUAUAAGUAGAAGGAGAAUACUCUAAAGUGAUGAUAAAAAGUAUAGUAUAGCAAGCUGGGCACGGUGGCUCACACCUAUAAUCCCAGCACUUUGGGAGGCCGAGGCAGGCGGACCACCUGAGUAUUGACUUUCUCUUUAUGUUGGAUUUAGGAGGAGGACAGGACAUCUUUUUCUUUGCCUGUAUCCCAGGGAUAGGAGCAAAAAAUUUCUAAGAAUAAUGACUUGAUCAAAGAGAUUCGGGGACUCUAAUCCCUUUCAGUUCAGAUGUUUUAGAAUAAUUUUCAUGCCUAAAGACGGUGAUUUACUUUUAUUUUUAUUUUUAGAGAUAGAGUCUCUCUCUGUUGCCCAGGCUGGAGUGCAGUGACGUGAUCUCACCUCACUGCAACCUCCGCCUCCCAGGUUCAAGCGAUUCUCGUGCUUCAGCUUCUGUAGUAGCUGGGAUUACAGGCAUGUGUCACCACGUGCAGCUAAUUUUUGUAUUUAAAUUUAGUAGAGACGGGGUUUCGGCAUGUUGGUCAGGCUGGUCUCAAACUCCUGGCCUCAAGUGAUCCGCCUGUCUUGGCCUUCCAAAAUGUUGGGAUUACAGGCGUGAGCCACUGCACCCAGCCAAAAUAUGUGAUUUUAUGUCUUCUAGGAAAAUAGUGUAAAAUUCAGCACGUUAAGAAGCUUUUGGUUUUCUGAAUUAUGUUUGACAUGUUAUUGUUGACAAACAGAGGACUCUGAUUAAUAGCUCCAGGAAGCCAUCACUAUUGUUGCGAGUUUAAAGGUUAAAGACCCAAGAUUUAGGAAGAGUUAACACUAAAUAAUCCUAGAUUCUGACUGUUUUUCAGGAAAUAAAUCUUUAUAUGUAUUUGUGUUCUCUAUAUAUACACACAUACAGUAGGCUAAUAUACAUAUACAUACAGUAGGCUAAACUUAGGCUACACAUUUUUUUAAAAUGCUUGCUUUCUUCAAUAAUAAACUAACAUUAGCAUACUGUAACUUUGUAACAUAAACUUUUUAACAUUUUAAACCUUUUUGACACUUUUGUAGUAAUAUUUAGCACACACACACACACACACACAGUAGGGUAAACUUGCAUCCAAGUUUGCCUAGAACAGUCCUGGUUCAUGUCUCUUGUCCCAGUGUAAUUAUUAAUAGUAUAUACUUUCACUCUCAAAAAUGACCCAGUGUAGGCCAGGCGUGGUGGCUCACUCCUGUAAUCCCAGCACUUUGGGAGGCCGAGGUGGGUGGAUCACCUGAGGUCAGGAGUUUGAGACCAGCCUGGCCAACAUGGUGAAACUCUGUCUCUACUAAAAAUACAAACAUUAGCCGGGCGUGGUGGCACACGCCUGUAGUUCUGGCUACUUGGGAGGCUGAAGCAGGAGAACUGCUUGAACUGGGAGGCAGAGGUUGCAGUGAGCUGAGAUUGCACCACUGAACUCCCGCCUGGGUGACAGAGUGAGACUCCAUCUCAAAAAAAAAAAAAAAAAAAACCCAAAAUCAAAACAAAUGACCGAGUUUAUGACUGGGUGUGGUGGCUCACACCUGUAAUUCUGGCACUUUGGGAGGCCCAGACAAGAGGAUCGCUUGAGCUCAGGAGUUUGAGACCAGCCUGGGCAACAUGGCAAGACCCUGUCUCUACUAGAAAUAAAAAAAAUUAGCUGAGCAUGGUGGUGUGCGCCUGUAAUCCCAGCUAUUUGGGAGGCUGAGGUGGGAGGAUCGCUUGAGCCCUGGAGACGCAGGUUUACAGGGCUGGGAUUACAGGGGUGAGCCACGCGCCCAGCUCUGUUUCUUAUCCAUGUCUAACCAGGAAGCCCCUACUUCCUGUCUUACCAGACUGAACCAAUUUACAACUUAUACAUAUUGAUUGAUGUCUCAUGUCUCCCUAAAAUGUAUAAAAGCAAACUGUACCCCUGACCACUUUGGGCACAUGUCUCAGGACUUUCUGAGGCUGUGUCAUGGGUGCAUCCUCAACCUUGGCAAAAUAAACCUUCUUUCUGGGUUUUUUUUUUUUUUUGAGAUGGAGUUUCACUCUUGUUGCCCAGGCUGGAGUGCAAUGGCGUGAUCUCGGCUCACCACAACCUCUGCCACCCAAGUUCAAGCAAUUCUCCUGCCUCAGCCUCCCAAGUAGCUGGGAUUACAGGCACGCGCCACCACGCCCAGCUAAUUUUGUAUUUUUAGUAGAGGUUUCUCCAUGUUGGUCAGGCUGGUCUCAAACUCCGGACCUCAGGUGAUCUGCCUGCUUUGGCCUCCCAAAAGUGCUGGGAUUACAGGCAUGAGCCACUGUGCCCAGCCUUGGCAAAAUAAACUUUCUAAAUUGACUGAGACCUGUCUCAGAUAUUUGGGGUUCACUAUUAUAUGCGCACGCACACACACACACACAUAUAUGUAUUUGUUUCUUGAGACAGGGUCUCCCUCUGUCACCUAGGCUGGAGUGCAAUGGCAUGAUCAUGGGUCACAGCCCCCUCAACCUUCUGGGCUCAAGUGACCCUCCCACCUCAGCCUCCUGAGUAGCUGGAACUACAGGCAUGCACCACCACAUCUGGCUAAUUUUCAGUUCAAAUUUCUUUUCUUUUUUUUUUUUUUUUGAGACGGAAUCUUGCUCUGUCACCCAGACUGGAGUGCAGUGGCAUGAUCUCAGCUCAUUGCAACCUACCCUUCCCGGGUUCAAGCGAUUCUCCUGCCUCAGCCUCCCAAGUAGCUGAGACUACAGGCGCGUGCCACCAAGCCCAGCUAAUUUUUGUAUUUUUAGUAGAGAGGGGGUUUCACCAUAUUGGCCAGGGUGGUCUUGAACUCCUGACCUCCUGACCUCGGCCUCCCAAAGUGCUGGGAUUACAGGCGUGAGCCACCGCACCCAGCCUUCAGUUCAAAUUUCAACCUAUCUGACUUUUAAGCUUCCUUUCUAGCCUCCUGCUCUCAACUUAUUUAUUUCCCUCAGCAGCAAGUAUCACCUUCAUUAACUUCUGUUUUUAUGACACUGUAUCCCAUGCCUCCCACACACCACAAUUCUAAGAAUUCUGCAGUCACUGCCCAGAAAAUAUGGAAUCUCAAACUUUAGUUUCAGAUUUGGCCUUUUCUCUAAUUUAUACCUCUAAGUGAGCUAAUAGGUACUGACCAUUAAAUUAGAAUAGAAAUCAGAAGACAGGAUCCUAUCUUCUCAGGAGGAAUAAUCAAAUAGAAAAGUAAGACAAAGCAAGCAAAAGUUUGUUGUUGUUGUUGUUGUUGUUGUUAUUGUCGUUUUGAGAUGGAGUCUCACUCUGUCACCAGGCUGGAGUGCAGUGGCACGAUCUCGGCUCACUGCAACCUCCAUCUCCCGGCUUCAAGCAAGCAAUUCUCCUGCCCCAGCCGCCCGAGUAGCUGGGAUUUAAGAAUAAUGUGAUUAAAUAGGCCGGAUGCCGUGGUUCACACCUGUAAUCCCAGCACUUUGGGAGGCCGAGGCGGGCGGAUCACUUGAGGCCAGGAGUUCGAGAUCAGCCUGGGCAACAUGGUGCAACCUCGUCUCUACUAUGAAUACAAAAAUUGGCUGGGCAUGGUGGUGCAUGCCUGUAAUCCCAACUACUCAGGAGGCUGAGGCAGGGGAAUUGCUUGAACCCGGGAGGCGGAAGUUGCAGUGAGCCGAGAUCAUGCCACUGCACUCCACCCUGGGGGACAGAGCGAGACUCCGCCUCAAAAAAAAAAAAAAAAAAAAAAAGAAUAUCAUGAAAUAGCUUUUAUUUCCAAAAAGAUGGAAGGCAAAGACAGAGCCACACUCACCGGGGGGAUGAGGCAGCAGGAGCGGAUGGAGUCGCUGAGGCCCAUCCAUUGCUGGUAGUUGGGGCAGUCAGUGGUGCAUUCGUAGCUGCGGCCCUGGAAGGCCCUGUCCUCGUAGAAGGUGAUCUGAAAAAUGGAAGAUGUGGGAGCAUGGAGUGAUUGGCCCCCACUGAGGCCACUGCAUUAGGGCCAAGGCUGAGCAUCCGGUACCCAGGACUUACCUUUCCCAUUUUGAAGGAAGUGAGCAGAUGUUUUCUGGUUGCUGUGUGGGACUGCGGGAACGUCACUGUAUGUAUAGCAGCCCUGACUGCUGCCUCCACAGGAAAUCACACAAAAGGGCCCAUUUUGGUGAGUAAGGGGAUUUGCAAGCUCGCUGCUCUCCGUGCCCAGGUCACUGGGGUUGGCUGAAUGGUUUACUCUCAUUCUUUCUGGUAGGUUCGGGUUGUUCUAAUUCACUAAAGCUGUUGUUGCCAUCAAAAUGAAUAGAGUACACUUUUAGUUGAGCAAAAGGAUGGGCGAAAUUCUGUCUCUGUGCUUUUAUUUUAUAGUUUACUCUGCUUAAUUGACUUCUCAAAAGUCAUUAAACUAAGUAAUGAAUUCUGCUCAGGGACUGGUGGUGUUUUUGUGUGUGUGUGUGUGUGUGUUUUAGUUCUAAAAGCCAGAAUUUAAAUAGUAAGGAAUCUUAAAGAAGAGGGAAUCAAGUGAAGUAAUCUGUGAAAGUGUGUUAAAACCCAUAAAGCUUAGUUCAAAUUCAAAAUUCUGUGAUCAGCCAGGCGAGGUGGUGCACACCUAUAAUCCCAGGACUUUGGGAGGCUGAGGCAGGUGGAUUGCUUGAGCUCAGGAGUUAGAGACCAGCCUAGGUAACAUGGUGAGACCCCAUCUCUACAACAAAUACAAAAAUUAGCCCUGCAUGGUGGCGCAUACCUGUAGUCCCAGCUAUUUGGGAGGCUGAGGUGAGAGGAUUGCUUAAGCUCAGGAGGUCGAGGUUGCAGUGAGCCAUGAUUGCACCACUGCACUCCAGCCUGGGCAACAGAGCAAGACCCUGUCGCAAAAAAAAAAAAAAAAAAAUUCUGUGAUCAUCAUUGUUGGUGUUUGGGGGCUUGUCUUGAAUAAAACUGAUACUUGCCUGGAAUUUUGUAGGCUUCUGGGGGCUGGGUAUUAUUUCUUGUUCAUGUCUAUCCCUGAGCCCUAGAGCAGAGGGUUGGCACAUUGCAGGUCCUCAAUAAUUGGCUCUGACCUGAGCAAAAACAGAUAGUUGUGGCUUUCUUCCCCCUUUCAGAUCUUCCUAAGGGCCUAAAUCCCUCCUUCUGCUGGUGGCUGUCCAGAGUCCUGCCUGCUGUUUGGUGUUCCUGCUCUGCCUCAAAUGUUACCACUAAGUGGCUGAUUGGUCUUCUCAAGGCAUGGGACCAAAAGGGCUCAGAGUUGGUCCCUAUUGCUGGCAGAUUGGACAUUCUACAGUGGAAAUAGCUGGAUUAGCCUUAAUAAGUAGAAGUUAAUGCAUAGCCUUCAUCCAUACCACUAUGAACGCUCUCUUAGUGAGCUCACUGCCAGCAGUAGGGUGGCUGAUGGCAGACGCUGACUGGAAUCAAAUGACCAAAUCAUUUUUUCUACUUGGUUGUUUAGUGCCUCUUCAAUGGUGGAUGCCCUACACUGGGCCUUCACAUGGGAUACAACUAUCUUCGCCCUUUGUGCCCAAUCCCAUAUCUCCCUGCACAUUCCUCUACCCCAGACCUUCUUGUCCCUAAUCUUCCAAUCUUUCUCCUUCCAGGCCCUGGACCAGCCAGCCAAGCCACACAUUACUGCUCAAUAAUUCCAUAUAUGCUUGACCUUGGGCUACUUUUCUUUCUGCACCGAGUGAGCAGCCAGGUGCACUACCUCAAGGUUGCCUUUUGGGAGGAUUUCCCUCACUGCUGUCUUUAGGGUGACUCCUGAGUGAGCUAUUCUGCAGCAGCAUUCUAUUUUGGGCUUGUACCCAAAUGCCAUGCCAAUUUAUUAGUGUAUCAAGCUCAGCCUUCCCCCACUCUAUCAGCUGGUCAGAAGGGACCCCUGCAGGCAGUUGUAAGUGUGAGCUGAGAGAGAGCUAUUGCAAUAAUGGUGACUUCAUCCCAUCCCGCAGGGAAGGCUAGGGCUAGAGUUGUCAGGAACUUAGGCAAGUGGACCGGGAAUCUGUGCCUCUGCAUUGCCCCGUAAUUUGAUGUGGGCUGCUGCCAUGGAGAAGUGUAACUUUGGGCAAGGCAGCUUCCUCCAGCAGAAGAAAAUUCUUGGAGACAAACUCAGCUUUAAGCUGUCAGCAUCUGGGAGAAGGAGUGCUUCAGUCCACAGUGGAAGUCCAGGCAGCACCAGAGCGUCCACUACAAGAAGAAAAUAAAGCUGAGAUAACUGCAGUUAACAUUUUGGUGUUUCAUCAUCCCAGCUUUUUUAUAUGUCAAACCCAUGUGUGGUUGUACAGUGUUAUUUAUACUGUGUAGCAUUCUCUUGUUUUCUUCUAAGUCACCUUUCAAAUAAAGUGAUUAGUAAUACU